rnacentral:rRNA from 1 species
GAGUUUGAUCAUGGCUCAGAUUGAACGCUGGCGGCAUGCCUUACACAUGCAAGUCGAACGGCAGCACGGGAGCUUGCUCCUGGUGGCGAGUGGCGAACGGGUGAGUAAUGCAUCGGAACGUAUCCUGGAGUGGGGGAUAACGUAGCGAAAGUCACGCUAAUACCGCAUAUUCUGUGAGCAGGAAAGCGGGGGACCUUCGGGUCUCGCGCUCUUGGAGCGGCCGAUGUCGGAUUAGCUAGUUGGUGAGGUAAAGGCUCACCAAGGCGACGAUCCGUAGCAGGUCUGAGAGGAUGAUCUGCCACACUGGAACUGAGACACGGUCCAGACUCCUACGGGAGGCAGCAGUGGGGAAUUUUGGACAAUGGGGGCAACCCUGAUCCAGCCAUGCCGCGUGAGUG